rnacentral:rRNA from 1 species
UACGAAGGGGGCUAGCGUUGUUCGGAAUUACUGGGCGUAAAGGGCGCGUAGGCGGUACUUCAAGUCAGGCGUGAAAGCCCCGGGCUCAACCUGGGAACCGCGCUUGAGACUGGAGAACUAGAGUUCGGGAGAGGAUGGUGGAAUUCCCAGUGUAGAGGUGAAAUUCGUAGAUAUUGGGAAGAACACCAGUGGCGAAGGCGGCUCACUGGCCCGGUACUGACGCUGAGGCGCGAAAGCGUGGGGAGCAAACAGG